GACGAACUGUCCUAACGUUGUUCGGAAUCACUGGGCUUAAAGGGCGCGUAGGCGGUCCGACAAGUCGGGGGUGAAAUCCUGCAGCUUAACUGCAGAAGUGCCUUCGAUACUGUCGGUCUUGAGGGAAAUAGGGGUGUGCGGAACUUCCAGUGGAGCGGUGAAAUGCGUUGAUAUUGGAAGGAACGCCGGAGGCGAAAGCGGCGCACUGGAUUUCUUCUGACGCUGAGGCGCGAAAGCUAGGGGAGCAAACGGG
rnacentral:rRNA from 1 species